ACUUGCGACCGAGGUCGGAUGUCCCCGGAUGGUUGUUAAUGGAGAGAACUCAGCAGGCUUCGUUGUAUUAAGUAGCCUCAAAAGCAGAUCCUUGAUUUGUCUGUGAGAAACUGAAAAUCAUCUUUUAAGAAGUUGUGCUUCGAUUCUCCGCCCACACUCCCAAUUCCUUAAUUAUGCUGCAGAAGUAGGGGCUUUUUUUUUAACAUCUCUCUAUCUGGUGCUGAUCUCACUGAAUGAUGACUUUCUGUUUCACUGGUAUUCGAAGCUUUCCUAAGCUUUGGAAGAACAACCCAUACCUUGACCUAAGCCCAGGACACUCUUCUCUCUCUCUCUUUCUCAAAGACUGUUACGGCAUCUGGAACCAACAGAAGUGGUUUUCUCUUAAAACAGUGUCUGCACAAAAUACUAAAGCAGUGAAUCUGCUGACUGCCAAGGCCAGAUAUCUCAGGAAAGGAGAUGAAGGCAGUAAUAAGCAAGUUUCUUCUGAUUCCCAUCUUUUUGCAGCUGGAGCGGCUAAGAAGAGAUCAGAGAUGAAUCCUCAUAAGGAAGAUCAUGCCUUGCCACCUGUGAGGAACACUAUUCAACUCCCAACAAAACCUUUGAAUUCAGAAGAGUGGGAUAAACUCAAGGAAGAUUUCAAAGGAAAGGCUAAAUUUGAAAGUUGGAUCAUUUCUCAGAUGGCCCACUCCCAUAGCUCUGUAGAUGUGGCCAAAUCUCUGUUAGCCUGGGUAGCUGCAAAAAACAAUGGUAUUGUAGGCUAUGAUUUGCUGGUCAGGUAUUUGUAUCUCUGCGUCUUUCAUAAGCAGACAUCGGAAGUUAUUGAUGUCUAUGAGAUCAUGAAAGCCAGAUACAAGAGAUUAGAAUCUGAAGGGUAUACUCUCCUCAUCCAGGGAUUAGUCCACUCAGACAGAUGGAAAGAGGCCUUGCUGCUGUUAGAGGAUGUCAAAAAAGUCAUGAUCGCUUCAAGAAAGAACUACAAUGACUGUAUAGAGGGAGCCCUUCUUCAUCAAGAUGUAAACCUAGCUUGGAAUUUGUAUCAGGAAUUGUUAGGUCAUGAUCUUAUUCCUAUGCUGAAAACUUUAAAGGCAUUCUUUGAUUUUGGAAAAAACAUAAAAGAUGAUCAGUAUUCAAACAAGCUACUUGACAUUCUUUUGUAUCUAAGAAAUAAUCAACUGUAUCCUGAGGAAUCAUUUGCACAGAGUAUAAAAACAUGGUUUGAGAGUGUUCCUGGAGAACAAUGGAAAGGACAGUUCACAACAGUCAAGGAAAGCGGUCAGUGUUUGGGCUGUGGAAAAACCAUGGAGUCUAUUCACCUGAGUCCAGAAGAGUAUGAAUUUCUUAAGGGCAAAAUCAUGAGGGAUGUGAUAGAUGGAGGUGAUCAGUAUAAAAAGACAACACCUCAGGAACUCAAGAGAUUUCAGAACUUUGUAAAAUGCUGUCCUCCUUUUGAUAUCGUCAUCGAUGGGCUCAAUGUUGCCAAAACAUUUCCUAAAGCUCGUGAAUCUCAAGUUCUUUUGGAUGUGGUCUCUCAACUAGCCAAGCGGAACGUGCAGCUGCUGGUCCUGGGCCGAAAGCACAUGCUAACACAGCACUUGAGGUGGAGAAAGGAUGAGAUGAAAAAGGUGCAAAAGCAAGCCAGGUGCUUCUUUGCUGAAAACAUCUCAGAGGAUGAUCCGUUCCUUCUGUAUGCCACACUGCACUCGGGGAACCACUGCAAAUUUAUCACAAAAGAUCUGAUGCGGGACCACAAGGCCUGUCUACGUGAUGCCAAGACCCAGCGCCUCUUCUUUAAGUGGCAGCAGGGACAUCAGCUAGCAAUUAUUAAUAGGGUUGCAGGAUCAAAAAUAACCUUUCAGUUUAGAUUCCUGCAAAUACAAGGAAUGUCUCUUGUGUGAAGCAAAGGGAGAAAAUCCAAAGGCGAGUUAUUAUGGAAAAAUACACUAGUCAAUGCAUAUCCCCUGUUAUGACACAGUGGUACAAACAACUGGAGACUCGUGGCACAUACCAUAUGAUGAAAACACGGUGGAAAGAUACUCCUAUGAAGUGCCAACCAAAUGGCUUUGCCUUCGCCGAAAGACGUGAAGACUCUCCCCCAUGCUAAACUUGUGUUGGGGUGCCCUUCUGGUUGGCGUCAGAGCACUUCAGUUGAUGCUUGUUUAGCAGUGCUCCUGCGUGAUCCACUCUGUCCUGUUUGGUCCAGUUGGUUUGCAUGUCAACAGAUUGACUUUUUUUAAUGAAAUAAAAUAUAAAA